ACGAACGCUGGCGGCGUGCUUAACACAUGCCAGUCGCACGGAAAGGCCCUGCUUGCAGGGUACUCGAGUGGCGAACGGGUGAGUAACACGUGGGUGAUCUGCCCUGCACUUCGGGAUAAGCCUGGGAAACUGGGUCUAAUACCGGAUAGGAGCCAUUUUUAGUGUGAUGGUUGGAAAGUUUUUUCGGUGUAGGAUGAGCUCGCGGCCUAUCAGCUUGUUGGUGGGGUAAUGGCCUACCAAGGCGGCGACGGGUAGCCGGCCUGAGAGGGUGGACGGCCACAUUGGGACUGAGAUACGGCCCAGACUCCUACGGGAGGCAGCAGUGGGGAAUAUUGCACAAUGGGCGCAAGCCUGAUGCAGCGACGCCGCGUGGGGAUGACGGCCUUCGGGUUGUAAACUCCUUUCGCUAGGGACGAAGCUUUUGUGACGGUACCUAGAUAAGAAGCACCGGCUAACUACGUG
rnacentral:rRNA from 1 species